GUGUCAGCCGCCGCGGUAAUACGGGGGGGGCAAGCGUUGUUCGGAAUUACUGGGCGUAAAGGGUUCGUAGGUGGUCAACUAAGUCAUGCGUGAAAUCCCUCAGCUUAACUGGGGAACUGCGUCUGAUACUGGUUGACUUGAGUGCAGGAGAGGAACGCGGAAUUCCAGGUGUAGCGGUGAAAUGCGUAGAUAUCUGGAGGAACACCGGUGGCGAAGGCGGCGUUCUGGACUGUAACUGACACUGAGGAACGAAAGCCAGGGGAGCAAACGGGAUUAGAAACCCCGGUAGUCC
rnacentral:rRNA from 1 species